rnacentral:rRNA from 1 species
AGAGUUUGAUCCUGGCUCAGGACGAACGCUGACGGUGUGCCUAAUACAUGCAAGUCGAACGAGCUUUGUGAGAGUGGCAACACUCCUGCAAAGCUAGUGGCGAACGGGUGAGUAACGCGUGGGUAAUCUACCUUGGAGAUUGGGAUAACCUUCCGAAAGGAAGGCUAAUACCAAAUGCCCUAUAUUCUCCGGAUGGAGAAUAUAGGAAAGGGUAGCCGCAAGGCCUCCGCUCCAAGAUGAGCCCGCGUCCUAUUAGCUAGUUGGUAGGGUAAUGGCCUACCAAGGCUAUGAUGGGUAGCCGGCCUGAGAGGGUGACCGGCCACACUGGGACUGAGACACGGCCCAGACUCCUACGGGAGGCAGCAGUAGGGAAUAUUGCGCAAUGGGCGAAAGCCUGACGCAGCGACACCGUGUGGAGGAAGAAGGCCUUCGGGUUGUAAACUCCUGUCAAUUGGGGACGAAGGUGCUUGGGUGAAUAGCCCUAAGCAUUGACGGUACCCAAUAAGGAAGUCUCGGCUAACUCCGUGCCAGCAGCCGCGGUAAGACGGAGGAGGCAAGCGUUGUCCGGAAUUACUGGGCGUAAAGAGCGCGUAGGUGGUUUCUCAAGUCGUGUGUGAAAACCCUAGGCUCAACCUGGGGAUUGCACACGAAACUGGGAAACUUGAGUGCAGCAGAGGAAAGUGGAAUUCCUGGUGUAGCGGUGAAAUGCGCAGAUAUCAGGAAGAACACCGGUGGCGAAGGCGGCUUUCUGGGCUGCUACUGACGCUGAGGCGCGAAAGCUAGGGGAGCGAACAGGAUUAGAUACCCUGGUAGUCCUAGCUGUAAACGAUGGACACUAGGUGUGGGAAGUUAUCGACGCUUCCUGUGCCGUAGCUAACGCGUUAAGUGUCCCGCCUGGGGAGUACGGGCCGCAAGGCUAAAACUCAAAGGAAUUGACGG